GGGGCUGAGCUGGGGCUGUAUGCUUGCUAGGUGUGGGCGCGCUAGUGCUCCCUGUAGCUUUUGCUGUGUCUUCGCUGUGUGUUAGACGUAGGGCCCAGAGCUCAGGGUGUGUGUGUGCGUGCGUGUGUGUGUGGUGUGCACAUACGUGAGUGUGGGUGUGUGUAGCGUGCUGAUCUGUGACUCCCAGUGUUCACCACCUUCCUGAAGACCAUGCUCCCUCCCCCUGCCUCCUCCUCCUCUAUCUAUCGGGAGCCUCAGGGCCGGCAGGGUGCCUCGGGAGCCCCCUGCUAUGGGGAAAGGCAUGUGUUUCUUGCUGGUGACUCAUUGCCUUCACACCACUGGGUUUGCCAGAAACAGGGAAGGAGGGCGUUAGGGGAAAAAAAAAAAUCCUCAAAUGUAUUUACCAGUCAGCUUCUUGCUGUUCCCAGUAGAAUCGCUAGCUCUUCUCCAGAGGAAAAGUACUAGGAUUCUUAAGAUGGCGAGACCCCAAGAGGGAUCUCACAGCACUGCUGCAUUUGCCCUUGAUGCAGUCCUGACAGUGUUUGGAAAGGGCCGCCUGCCCCCUCCCCACUGUACUUCUGACGCCUUUGGAAUCAAAGGCAGGUGGGGUCACCUGAUGAGCUAAGAUCCAGCCCCAGAAUCCUGGAGGAGCAGGAGAGGACCAGGUCCCCAAGUCCUUUCACAGGGUCCCCACCCCCACUGGCUUUGGUGCUGUCCAAACAGUGCCCACCAGAAGACAGAGGGAACUCCAGGGCAGGGAUGUGCCUGAAAGAGUCAACAGUCUCCUGAUCCCUUACCUGUGCCUGCCCUCCAGCCCCAUCACCAGCUUCUUGCUCAGGGAGCCUUCUGCCCUCCUCACUGAGGCAGCAUGAAGCCCGAGGCCCAGAUGGGGGCUGAACAGGUAGGGCACAUCGGUGAAUGCCAGUGAGGUCGGCUUCUGCCCUCCAGCAAUACAUGUGCAGGGGCUGCUGCUUUCCCAGUGCCAGGAGAACCCCCACUCUGAGUCAGCCUGUGUGGGUCAUGGGACUGGGAUGCAGGAGCCAUGGUCCCAGGCACUGCACAGGUCUACGGUAUUACCAGGCGGAAGUUCCUCACCCCAACUUCCCCAUCCCACCCCCCCAGAGUACUCCCCACUGUGAAAAGAGCUGGAAACUGAACCAGUUAGAAUGAACCUGGCUCCCUGAGCACCCCUGUAUCCUUCAAAUAGGCCCUGAGAUGUGAGGUCUGCUGCUUCACUGGGGCCUGAUGACUUCGGCUGGGGGAGGGGGCCUAGGGCCCCUUCUCAUUGAAAGCUCUGCUUUGUACAGACCCAAGCACAGACACCAGGCUGUCACUUUGGGUUCUGGCAUAAGUUCAGAACAAUUCAAGUCCCUGUGUCCCAUGGCUGGUCAGAGCCCUGGGUCAAAACCACUCAGCCCAGGAGAGGGGAUGAGGCAUUGUCACCCUAGACCCCUCUUCCUCUCUCCCCCACCAUGGUGUGCAAUAAAGUGUCUGUUCUUACCAAA
rnacentral:lncRNA from 1 species